rnacentral:rRNA from 1 species
GCGGCAUGCCUUACACAUGCAAGUCGAACGGCAGCACGGGUGCUUGCACCUGGUGGCGAGUGGCGGACGGGUGAGUAACGCGUAGGAAUUUGCCUUGUAGCGGGGGAUAACUUGGGGAAACUCAAGCUAAUACCGCAUAAGCCCGAGAGGGGAAAGCUGGGGAGCAGAAAUGCCCUGGCACUAUGAGAUGAGCCUGCGUUGGAUUAGCUUGUUGGUGGGGUAAUGGCCCACCAAGGCGACGAUCAGUAGCUGGUCUGAGAGGAUGAUCAGCCACAUUGGGACUGAGACACGGCCCAAACUCCUACGGGAGGCAGCAGUGGGGAAUAUUGGACAAUGGGCGCAAGCCUGAUCCAGCCAUGCCGCGUGAGUGAUGAAGGCCUUAGGGUUGUAAAGCUCUUUCGUCCGGGACGAUAAUGACGGUACCGGAAGAAGAAGCCCCGGCUAACUUCGUGCCAGCCGCCGCGGUAA